UGGGUGUAGCUGACGGAGGCGUAGGCUACGCCUUCCUCGGGGUCGGCCUGCACACAGAAGACAACAACAGGCCGCUCAGAGACGCUGCAGCAGAGUGUCGUAACUUCCCCUUUUCUCUGAGUCCGAGUCAGACUGGUGUAGCCGUGUGGGUGGUGCUGCUGCAGACCGAUGGCUCCACUCUGGAUUUAAAGGAGGUUCUUAUUGGUGUUUGACCAGGUCUCCUAAAGGAUUCCCCUGCAAACUGCAUCGUGAAAUACUCAAAGAGGAAAUCAUUCCUUCUUUCAGGGUUCAUGUUUAGUCACAGCUCUCCGUCUGAUGAGGACCACGAGGAUGAUGAAGAGGACGAAUAAACCCACCAGCGUGAUGAUGAGCCACUUCCACGAGGCUGAGGGAGGAUAAGAACAUUUAAACACUUCACCAGGCACCAAACUGACUUUAAUAAGUCAAUCAGUGUCUUUAACCGAAUAAUAACCAUCAAAUAAAUGUGAUGAGAUGUUUCUAAUGAUGUCAGAAUAAAACCACAUGUGUCUGCUA